rnacentral:rRNA from 1 species
AGUGAACGCUGGCGGUAGGCCUAACACAUGCAAGUCGAACGGCAGCACAGUAAGAGCUUGCUCUUACGGGUGGCGAGUGGCGGACGGGUGAGGAAUACAUCGGAAUCUACUUUUUCGUGGGGGAUAACGUAGGGAAACUUACGCUAAUACCGCAUACGACCUACGGGUGAAAGCAGGGGAUCUUCGGACCUUGCGCGAUUGAAUGAGCCGAUGUCGGAUUAGCUAGUUGGCGGGUUAAAGGCCCACCAAGGCGACGAUCCGUAGCUGGUCUGAGAGGAUGAUCAGCCACACUGGAACUGAGACACGGUCCAGACUCCUACGGGAGGCAGCAGUGGGGAAUAUUGGACAAUGGGCGCAAGCCUGAUCCAGCCAUACCGCGUGGGUGAAGAAGGCCUUCGGGUUGUAAAGCCCUUUUGUUGGGAAAGAAAAGCAGCAGGUUAAUACCCCGCUGUUCUGACGGUACCCAAAGAAGAAGCACCGGCUAACUUCGUG